AUCCUUUUGUACUUCAUAAGGAUGAUGACUGAGGUUUCACAUUCACGUGUGAGAUGUGCUUCCCUCAAACCUUGUUACAACAUUGACAAAUUACCUGUCUGAUG